rnacentral:rRNA from 1 species
UACGGAGGGUGCAAGCGUUAUCCGGAUUCACUGGGUUUAAAGGGUGCGUAGGUGGGCUAGUAAGUCAGUGGUGAAAUCUCCGGGCUUAACCCGGAAACUGCCAUUGAUACUAUUAGUCUUGAAUGUCGUGGAGGUAAGCGGAAUAUGUCAUGUAGCGGUGAAAUGCGUAGAGAUCGAGAGGAACACCAGUGGCGAAGGCGAGUUCCUGGACAAGUCCUGACACUGAGGCACGAAAGCCGGGGGAGCAAACAGG